UUUAUGCUGUUACCUUCUUGUAACAUGGCAGUAAGAAAUUUGCAACUAAAUUUGAGCUAAAAUUCAACCUACGUCACUUCUUACUGUGUGCGUGUAUCAGGGUAAAUCUUUACCUUCAUUGGUGGUAGAAAGAGCAGUAUAGUUGAGGAGAUUUAUAUUUGUCUUUCCGGUCCAGGUUUCUGGAGCCAGACCAGCAGUGAUAAACACCUAAUGAGUUCUGCUGCUGAAACACAUAUAUGAAGAGUUUCUUCAUGCACUUUAUGUGCACUUGUCCUGGGAAAUUGUGUAUGACUCUACAUAGCAAGCAGACUUGAAUAUGACUUUGAACGAUUUGAGGAGGAUACUUCAAAAAAUAGGUAAAAAAGAAUAAGUAAUAAUUCUAAAGUGCACUCGUGCCUGUGUUGUUUUAUUUUUCUUGCUACUGACUUUUAUAGAUUCACUAGUUCAAUAUCUCUUGAUUAUAGAAAAGUCAGGAAAAAUAU
rnacentral:lncRNA from 1 species